GUGACUAGCUGAACUGUUAUGUUAAUGUGACUAGCUGAACUGUUAUGUUAAUGUGACUAGCUGAACUGUUUUGUUAAGGUGACUAGCUGAACUGUUUUGUUAAGGUGACUAGCUGAACUGUUUUGUUAAUGUGACUAGCUGAACUGUUUUGUUAUGACGAGCUGAACUGUUAUGUUAAGGUGACUAGCUGAACUGUUGUUUUAAUGUGACUAGCUGAACUGUUAUGUUAAUGUGACUAGCUGAACUGUUUUGUUAUGACGAGCUGAACUGUUAUGUUAAGGUGACUAGCUGAACUGUUGUUUUAAUGUGACUAGCUGAACUGAUGUUUUAAGGUGACUAGCUGAACUGAUGUUUUAAGGUGACUAGCUGAACUGAUGUUUUAAGGUGACUAGCUGAACUGAUGUUUUAAGGUGACUAGCUGAAUUGUUGUGUUAUGGUAACUAUUGUAGCUUGUAAGAGAAUGAUCACACUAUUAAUGCUGCACUAGACAAGCCAGUUAAACAGUAUAUACUAAAGGGUGAUUAGUGCGUUGGGUGUACUGGUCUCUGCAGAGCAUAAGUGGGCGUUUCC
ensembl:lncRNA